UUCCAUAUGGAAUUUGUAUUUUUUUUAUUUGUUUAAUUAGCAUGGUCACUGGAAGACAGUUAACGUAGUUUUCAAAUAUUUAACUACCCCCUUGGUUGUUAACAGCUCACUGCCUUCCAGCGGCCGUUCUGGUUCUGUCCUAACCAACCACUAAUGAUUUUGCUUUCUUCCUGAGGUUGACGGAAACUUAAGUCAGUUACGAAGGAGAUUUCAAUCACGAAGGGUCUCGUAACUCAGAUACUCUGAGCUCUAUUGACUAUAUAAGGAUAUACAGCUAUAUCUUUGAAGUGACGACGACUAUUCCUUUCGACAUGUAAUCGCCGUUUAAACCCAGCCAGGAAGAAGCAUUCCUUCAUCGCAGUCUCUCACUCUACACGUACUUCGCCUUCGUCCCAGGAUGAUAUCGGUAUUUUGGAAGUGGCUGAAUUACUGCGGCUCCCCCAAGCUUCACGAUGAUCAACUUUGUGUAUUAGCUGCCGCAUCAGCACCUGGAUGAUAGGACAGUUUUCAAUUACAAUAAAUUACUUAAUUU